GAUGAACGCUGGCGGCGUGCCUAAUACAUGCAAGUCGAGCGAACAGACGAGGAGCUUGCUCCUCUGACGUUAGCGGCGGACGGGUGAGUAACACGUGGAUAACCUACCUAUAAGACUGGGAUAACUUCGGGAAACCGGAGCUAAUACCGGAUAAUAUAUUGAACCGCAUGGUUCAAUAGUGAAAGACGGUUUUGCUGUCACUUAUAGAUGGAUCCGCGCCGCCUUAGCUAGUUGGGAAGGUAACGGCUUACCAAGGCAACGAUGCGUAGCCGACCUGAGCGGGUGAUCGGCCAGACUGUAAGUGAGACACGGUCCAGACUCCUACGGGAGGCAGCAGUAGGGAAUCUUCCGGAAUGGGCGAAAGCCUGACGGAGCAACGCCGCGUGAGUGAUGAAGGUCUUCGGAUCGUAGAACUCUGUUAUUAUGAAAGAAGAAAUGUGUAAGUAACUAUGCACGUCUUGACGGUACCUAAUCAGAAAGCCACGGCUAACUACGUG
rnacentral:rRNA from 1 species